rnacentral:rRNA from 1 species
AUUGAACGCUGGCGGCAUGCCUUACACAUGCAAGUCGAACAGCAGCACGGGGGCAACCCUGGUGGCGAGUGGCGAACGGGUGAGUAACAUAUCGGAACGUACCCAGAAGUGGGGGAUAACGUAGCGAAAGUUACGCUAAUACCGCAUACGAUCUACGGAUGAAAGUGGGGGACCUUCGGGCCUCAUGCUUUUGGAGCGGCCGAUAUCUGAUUAGCUAGUUGGUGAGGUAAAGGCUCACCAAGGCGACGAUCAGUAGCUGGUCUGAGAGGACGACCAGCCACACUGGGACUGAGAUACGGCCCAGACUCCUACGGGGAGGCAG